GAAGAAGCAGGAGAGGGCCCCGAGAGCACCUUCUUACCAGUGAGGGCUUGACAUUCACCUGCACACACACCGCACUUUUAAAAAUCGUGUUGGCUUUGGUUGGUUUUGGCCCUGCUCACACUACUUUUCCAAAGCACCUCCUGUUGACGAAGCUGGCUUUGGGACAAGAGAGGAUGCAUUUGUCCUUAGGGUCUCUCAGGGACAGGCCACGCAACACCACAUACACAGGUGCUCAGUAAGAAUUAGAUGGAGCGGACAAUGCUGAUUACUGUUAAUGACGGGGCCGUGCCAUCCCCGGGGAGGACAAGAAAAAAGUAACAAAAAUAAUUUUUGGCUUCAAGCACCCAACAAUGGAAAUGCUGAAACCCAUGUCCUUUAAGUCCUUUUCUUCUCCUAGCAGAGGGCCCUCUGCCUACAUGGGGCACCGUGGUGGCCAUUUAAUGUACUCCUGCUUGGUACCCACCUCUGCUCUGCCCCCUGGUGGCCACAGACACCAUUGCUGCUGCCUCAGCACAGUUUGACCUUGUUGCUGCCAAGAGCCACCUCUCCUCUCAUCACUGUCCCCACUCUCCUGCCAUGCCUCAGGUGGCUGCUGGCAGAAGAGCAGUGGGCUUUGUUUCUUCAGAACAUCACAGCAACCACUGUCUUAUCAGCUCACACCCUCAGGAUCUUACUGCCCCUUUUCCCAAAAAUCUCCACUCCGGCAACCCUGGCCCUGCAUCAUUGAAGGACAUUUAAGUGAUAUAACAUAUUGUUGCCUCAAAAAAGUUUUUUCCCUCUUCAACAGCUGGGACAACUGGAUAACCACAUGCAAGAGAAUGAUGUUUGGCCACUAACCACACCAUACAUACAAAUUAACUCAAAAUGAAUCAAAGACUUAAAUGUAAGAGCUAAAACUUAGAACAAACAGGAGAAAAUCUUCACAACCAUGGAUUUGGCAAUGGAUUCUUAGAUAAGAUGCCAAAAGCACAAGCAACACAUGGAAAAAAAGAGAUACAUUAGACUUCAUCAAAAUUAAAAACUCUUUUGUGCAUCUAAGGACACUAUCAAGAAAAUAAAAAGAAAAACUACAGAAUGGGAGAAAACAUUUACAAACCAUAUACGAAAGGAUCUAAUAUCCAGAAUAUUUAAGAAGUCUAUGACUCCCCAACAAAAAGACAACCCAAUUUAAAAAUGGCCAAAGGACUCGAAUUGAUAUUUUUCCAAGAAGAUACGCAAAUGACCAACACACACUUGAAAAGAUGCCCAGAGCUGGACAUGGUGGUAUGUUCCUGUGGUCCCAGUUACUCAGGAGCUGAGGCAGGAGGAUCACUUGAGCCUAGGAGUUCAAGCCUGGAGUAAACUAUGAUCUCACCACUACAUUCCAGCCUGAGCAACACACGGAGACCUGGUCUCAAAAAAAAAAAAAAAAAAAAAAAGAUACUCAAUAUUAAUAGUCACUAGUGAAAUGCAAACUGAAACCACCUUGAAAUACUUAACACUCACUAGAAGGACUAGGACUAUAAUUAAAAACACAGACAAUAGCAAGUAUUAGCUAGAAUGGGUAGAAAUUGGAAUCUUCAUACACUGCUGAUGGGAAUGUAAAAUGGUGCAGCAACUGUGGAAGACAGUUUGAUGGUUCCUCAGAAUUUUAAACAGAAUUACUAUAUGACCCAGUAACUCUUGGAUGGAAUAAAAACUUUGUCUACACAAAAACCUGUACACAAAUAGCAGCACUAUUCAUAAUAGCUAAAAGGUGAAACAAUCUGAAUGCUCCAUCAGCUGAUGAAUGGAUAAACAAAAUGUGGUAUAUCUGUGGAAAAGAGCAUUACUCAGCCCUAAAAAGACAAAGGGAGUACUGAUACAUGCUGUAACAUGGAUAAGCCUUGAAAACAUUAUACCUAAUAAAAGAAGCCAGACCCGAAAGGCCAUGUAUUAUAUGAUUCCAUUUAUACAGAAUGUUCAGAAUAGGUAAAUCCAGGCAGACAGAAAGCAGGUUAAUGCUUGCCAGGGGCUGAGGGGAAGGAGAAAUUGGAAAUGGCUGCUUAAUGAGUCCUUUAGGGGUGAUGAAAGUGUUUCGGAACUAAAUAGGGAUAGUGGUUUUACAGCAUUGUGAAUGUACAAAAUGCCACAGAACUGUGUACUUUAAAAUGGUUAAUUUUAUGUUAUGUUAAUUCCAUCUUAAUAA
rnacentral:lncRNA from 1 species